rnacentral:rRNA from 1 species
AUUGAACGCUGGCGGCAGGCCUAACACAUGCAAGUCGAGCGGAUGAAGGGAGCUUGCUCCUGGAUUCAGCGGCGGACGGGUGAGUAAUGCCUAGGAAUCUGCCUGGUAGUGGGGGAUAACGUCCGGAAACGGGCGCUAAUACCGCAUACGUCCUGAGGGAGAAAGUGGGGGAUCUUCGGACCUCACGCUAUCAGAUGAGCCUAGGUCGGAUUAACUAGUUGGUGGGGUAAAGGCCUACCAAGGCGACGAUCCGUAACUGGUCUGAGAGGAUGAUCAGUCACACUGGAACUGAGACACGGUCCAGACUCCUACGGGAGGCAGCAGUGGGGAAUAUUGGACAAUGGGCGAAAGCCUGAUCCAGCCAUGCCGCGUGUGUGAAGAAGGUCUUCGGAUUGUAAAGCACUUUAAGUUGGGAGGAAGGGCAGUAAGUUAAUACCUUGCUGUUUUGACGUUACCAACAGAAUAAGCACCGGCUAACCUCGUG